CCUUAAACGACGUUUGAGUGGCAUCUGUGUAGUGAAGCACAUUUGUUUCUUUCUUAGACGAUUCUUGCGCACUACUGUCUUUCAAAAGGACUAGGUCUUGCAAGAGAUAAAGGCUAUUAGCUUUGAUAAAGUUUUCUCGAGUUUAUGUUUGUCAAAAGGGGCUAAAGACUAAAGGAAUUUGCUUUUAUACUAGCAGGAUUUUCUCCCACCAUCGGGACUAUAACAUAUGCUUGACUUCAGAUUUUGGUCACAGGUGUUGGAGCAACCCUCAAAGAUAAAGCUGGCAGGAAGCCCCUACUUCUGAUAUCUGGAUCGGGAUUGGUCACAGGAUGUGUAUUUGUAGCAGUUGCAUUCUAUCUUAAGAUUCGACAAAUAUUUGACUUUGUUUCCUGAAUUAAGAACGGUGGAGGGCAGGAUGCCGAGAAUCUAAGAGUCAAGCCAAACGAUGCUUCAAGUAUUCCUAAUACACCUUUGGAUGCAAGAGGAUCAUCUGGUGCUAGCAACCCUUAGUUUGCAUAUAAUGUAUUUUGGAUUUAAAGUUUAGUAUGAGGCUAAUUUGACAAUGUUAUGAAUUUUAUGUUGUACUUGAAAUUAUA